GGGAGUGCUGUCGUGGGGGAUUGUGGGAAAAGAUGGCGGCUGCCGCACAAUCCCGGGUUGUCCGGGUCCUGUCAAUGUCACGAAUGGGACGCGAGAGAUAAAGAUUCUAUCCGACGAGUAGUACAACACAGCAAUGUGGUCAUCAAUCUUAUUGGACGAGACUGGGAAACCAAAAACUUUGAUUUUGAGGAUGUUUUUGUGAAGAUUCCCCAAGCAAUUGCUCAACUGUCCAAGGAAGCUGGAGUUGAAAAAUUCAUUCAUGUUUCACAUCUGAAUGCGAAUAUUAAAAGCUCUUCUAGAUAUUUGAGAAAUAAGGCUGUUGGAGAGAAAGUAGUGAGAGAUGCAUUUCCGGAAGCCAUUAUCGUAAAGCCGUCGGACAUCUUUGGAAGAGAGGAUAGAUUCCUUAAUUCUUUUGCAAGUAUGCAUCGGUUUGGUCCUAUACCCCUUGGUUCCUUGGGCUGGAAGACAGUUAAACAACCAGUAUAUGUAAGUACUUGGAU
rnacentral:lncRNA from 1 species